ACCCCGGCGCUGAGUCCCUGGGGCCGCCGGGCGGAUGGCGUGGCCGGACGCGGGGGCCCCGGGCCUUCCGGGCGUGACCUAGGGCUCGGGGGCGGGGAGGCCCCUCCGGCGGGGCGGCCCUGGGUGGUCCGGCAGAGGCGGAGGCCGCUCCGAGCCUGUGAGCCCUGGGCGCCUGCGGAGGCGGGGAGAGGGCGGGGUGUGCCGCCCUGGUGGGGACCGCGGGGUCGGAGAGGGGACAUUGCCCCCCCCGAGGCGAACGUCCAACCGCGGGUCCGGGUCCCCGCCCAAGGCCGCCCCGCGAGGUGGCCUCGGCCCGGCCGUCCCCGAGGGUGGCUCGGAUCCUUUCAACCAGCGCGCUGGAGGCGAAGGGGCUGCGCCAUUCCGGGUCAGGCAGCCAACGCGGGACACGCGCGUCUCCGAGCUUGCGGCCCGCGAAACCCGGGUGACCUACCGCGCCGGUGCCCUCAAAGCCCCCACGCCCGGGCCGGUGGCCGCUGCAGCCACUGAGCCACGCGGUCUCCCCGGCCCGGUCGGCAGAAGGAGCUGGUCCGUUACUAGAAAAGUCCAGAUGCAAAGUCGGGGGUCGUGCUGCCGCUUCCUGCCAGCGCACCGCACCCACCUGGGGCCGCCACCGACCGCACAGGACGCGCCUCCUACCCCCUGUUCUGGCCCGGCCGAGAGCUGGUGCCCCCAGCGGCCGCCCGCCCCCGUCCGCAGACCCCGGGGCCCUUGCUGCUUUGCAUUGGGAACAACCGGAGCCAGGCCCGGAGCUGAGGGGGCCAGGGCCUUUGGAGGAAGCAUUGGCCUCCAGGCUGAAGAGCAAGGGCCGUGUCACCUGCCCGGAGGGCGGUCUCAUCUCUGCAGCCAGGCACUUUCCCACACAGGAUGGAGCCGGGCCACCCUCACAGCUCCUGCCCUGCAGACGCUGGCCUUGUGGAGGGAGGCAGGCAGCAGGAGCAGUGCUUUCUGGGCCUCUGUAGCCAGAGCUGGCCCUGCUGCAGCUUACGUCUGCCUGCAGCCCAGACGUCCUCCUGGUCCUCCUGAUGCCCCCGACCUCCACGGAGGACGAGCAUUUCCAGCCCAGCCCUCCCCAUCUUCACCUCGCACUCCCCUGACACACUGGGAGCCUCCUGAUCCGUGAACCCGCGCUGGCGGGAGUAGCUACUGACCGCUGGGGACCCCUGCCCAGGCUGUUCGCAUGUGGAAAGGAUUCAGGGAGCAGGCGAUGCCCAAAGCGUGGAGACCAGCACUGCUCUCUCCCCAGUGACAGGUGCACGCCCAGAUCACGGAUGUGUCGGGAACAGCUGUGCUCCUGCUGCUCAGCGUCCGUCACUCCAGGCUGGGAGCGGGUCCCCAAGCUUCUGGCUGGGCCUAUCCGUCUCCACUCUCAGUGUGGGGGUGGGGGGCGCCAACAGCACGCAUUUGCUCUCUGCACUUCUCGUCUGAUAAUGGGCAGAGGGUCCUUCUGCAGCCCCAAAACAUCCCUAGGCAGGAGCCCUGGGGCCCCAAGCAGCCAGGGAGGUGAGCACCAAGGACCUCCCAGAGAGCGUCACCUUCCGUCGAGGGAGGCCCAGCCUGGGGGCGGUGUCUGAGACUUGGAAUCAACGCUUCCGUUGGUGGCAGUAAAUCCUGUCCCUAACCCUGCAGUACAGCUGUGCCGUGUACAGGAGGGUGCUGUCUGACGCCAGACACCUGGACUACAGAUCGCAGCCUGAUUCCUGGUCAUUGCUCCACUGAACCCCAGACCCCAGCCUCGUUCUGGGCCCUCAUCCCCUAGAUCCAGGGACCCCAGCCCCAUUUCAGCCCUUGGGCCCUUGUAGGAUGCGAGGCCCUGGGCCCCAGCCCCCAGCCCAUCCGUGGCCCAGGCACUGGGGGGCUGAGGUCCUCUGAGAAGGGACACAGGGCCUGGGGGGCUCUCUCAGCCCAUCAGCAGGAGAGGACUGACUCCAGAAAAAUCAGCGUUUGUACCCACUCAGGCUGCCAAGACCUGUGUCCGUCCUUCCAAGCUCAACCUUCAGAGUUCAUGAGGCCCCUUGCCCAGAAUGUCCACAGAGUUCAUGAGGCCCCUUGCCCGGAAUGUCCACAUUUGAAACCUCCCAACACCGAGCCCCAUUUCAAGUAUAACCAGGAGGGAAAAUGGUGCUUGAAAUAAGCAUGCCACAAAGGAAAACCUGCUUUCUCGAAAUGGGCCCUGGCCGCCCAGGCCCUGACCUCCCCGGCCAGGAUGGAACGUUCCAGAGACCCAUUAGUGCCAAAGGCAAAUGAAAACACACCCUGUGAAAAUGUC
ensembl:lncRNA CEROX1 cytoplasmic endogenous regulator of oxidative phosphorylation 1